rnacentral:rRNA from 1 species
AGUGAACGCUGGCGGCAUGCUUUACACAUGCAAGUCGAACGGCAGCGCGGUCUUCGCCUUGUCGGCGAGUGGCGGACUGGCGAGUAAUUCAUCGGAACAUGCCCAUUUGUUUUGUCUUGCCCGGCGAAAGCCGGAUUAAUACCCCAUACGACCUUAGGGUGUACGCGGGGGACCGAAAGGCCUUGCGCCCUUGGAGCGGCCGAUGUCGGAUUAGCUAGUUGGUGGGGUAAAGGCUUACCAAGGCGACGAUCCGUAGCUGGUCUGAGAGGACGACCAGCCACACUGGAACUGAGACACGGUCCAGACUCCUACGGGAGGCAGCAGUGGGGAAUAUUGGACAAUGGGGGCAACCCUGAUCCAGCCAUGCCGCGUGGGGGAAGAAGGCCUUCGGGUUGUAAAGCGCUUUUGUUGGGGAAGAAAACCUGUAGGCUAAUACCCCGGGGGGAUGACGGUACCGGAAGAAUAAGCACCGGCUAACUACGUG